rnacentral:rRNA from 1 species
AUUGAACGCUGGCGGCAUGCUUUACACAUGCAAGUCGAACGGGGUGGGGGGCAACUCCCAUUCAGUGGCGAACGGGUGAGUAAUGCAUCGGAACGUAUCCCGUAGUGGGGGACAACGCCGCGAAAGCGGCGCUAAUACCGCAUAUGCUCUACGGAGGAAAGUGGGGGACCGCAAGGCCUCACGCUAUGGGAGCGGCCGAUGUCCGAUUAGCUAGUUGGUGGGGUAAUGGCCCACCAAGGCGACGAUCGGUAGCUGGUCUGAGAGGAUGAUCAGCCACACUGGGACUGAGACACGGCCCAGACUCCUACGGGAGGCAGCAGUGGGGAAUUUUGGACAAUGGGGGCAACCCUGAUCCAGCCAUGCCGCGUGCGGGAAGAAGGCCUUCGGGUUGUAAACCGCUUUUAGCCGGGAAGAAAAGGCAUCUCCUAAUACGGGGUGUUCUUGACGGUACCGGCGGAAUAAGCACCGGCUAACUACGUGCCAGCAGCCGCGGUAAAAC